AUGCUCGACAACCCAGCCGACCUCGCCCGCGCGUCCGCUACCCUCUUCAGCAUGCUCGACGACCCGGCCGACCUCGCCCGCGCAUCCGCCGUCUCCCGCUCCUGGAGGCAAUUCGUGAUCGCCAACCAGUUGAGCAAGCUGCAGUGCCUGCGGGCCUUCCCGGAGCUCUUCGCCUUCACGCACGUCGACGUCACCACCACAUCCGGCUACAGCAGCAGCAGCCUGGAUCAGCCCCACCGGGAACACAGGGUGUACACGCACCUCGCCCAGGGCCUCCUCUCGGAGUACAAGCCCAGGGACUGCAUCAUCCACUGCAUCGGCGCUUCCACCACCGACAGCUUCCCGGAGGAGAGCAUCCAGAACACCAUCGAGCCCGUCGACCCCGUCGAGGUUAGGCCCUCCUACUGGUCCAGCCGCAGCAACGGGGAUCCCGACGCGCCCGAGUGCCUCAUAUACAGGCUCCAGGCGGAUCUCUGCCUAGUCGAUGAGAUCAAGAUGCAGCCCUUCAAAGCAUUUUUCCAGCUUGGUGACCCCAUAUAUUCGGCAAAGAGCAUCCAGUUCCAGAUGGGCUAUCCAAGGUCACCUCUACGCCCUGAAGCACUUGUCUCCGAUGAAAAUGAAGGGCAGUUGAUUGAUGACAGAAACUAUGUCUGGACCUACACAUCUCCACAAUUUCCAAUGCUGCAGGAAAAUGUUCUGCAAUCCUUCAAGUUACCAUGCCCGGUUCUUUGUAUUGGUGGGGUGGUGAAGGUUGAGCUUCUUGGGAGAGCUCAGAAGCAGGAACUUGAUGGCCUCUACUACGUAUGUGUGUCUCAUGUCCAAAUACUGGGGAAGCCACUGUCACGAGAGCUCGGGGUCGUUCCUCGUGGGAACGGCCUAGUCCUGAAUUACUAUCUGGAUCCCCGUACAUGUGGCAUUCCCCGCUGUGAGUCAUCAGGGGAUGAUGCCGCAGCAGAUGGCAUAGCUUGGCGUCGAACAUCUGGCAUUCUAGAAUGGCGCGAGGGAGUGGAGGGCUGA
rnacentral:rRNA from 1 species